rnacentral:rRNA from 1 species
UGGGGAAUAUUGCACAAUGGGCGCAAGCCUGUUGCAGCCAUGCCGCGUGUGUGAAGAAGGCCUUCGGGUUGUAAAGCACUUUCAGCGGGGAGGAAGGCGAUAAGGUUAAUAACCUUGUCGAUUGACGUUACCCGCAGAAGAAGCACCGGCUAACUCCGUGCCAGCAGCCGCGGUAAUACGGAGGGUGCAAGCGUUAAUCGGAAUUACUGGGCGUAAAGCGCACGCAGGCGGUCUGUCAAGUCGGAUGUGAAAUCCCCGGGCUCAACCUGGGAACUGCAUUCGAAACUGGCAGGCUAGAGUCUUGUAGAGGGGGGUAGAAUUCCAGGUGUAGCGGUGAAAUGCGUAGAGAUCUGGAGGAAUACCGGUGGCGAAGGCGGCCCCCUGGACAAAGACUGACGCUCAGGUGCGAAAGCGUGGGGAGCAAACAGG